ensembl:snRNA U2 U2 spliceosomal RNA
AUCACUUCUCAGCCUUUUGGCUAAUAUCAAGGGUAGUAUCUGUUCUUAUCAGUUUAAUAUCUGAUACGUCCUCUAUCUGAGGACAGUACAUCAAAUGGAUUUUUGGAGGAGGGAGAUGGAAUAGGAUCUUGCUCUGUCCACUCCAUGCAUAGUGUUACAGUACCAGGAAUGGUGCACCUCCU